CAUCUACAACUAUCAGAUUAGAGCCAUGAUGGAGACUAGACAUCUAUCAUUCCACUACCACUAUCAGAUUAGAGCAAUAAGGGAGGCUAGACAUCUACCACCCCACUACCACUAUCAGAUUAGAGCCAUAAAGGAGACUAGACAUCUAUCACCCCAAUACCCCUCUCAGAUUAGAGCCAUAAAGGAGGCUGCUAGACAUCUACCACCCCACUACCGCUAUCAGAUUAGAGCAAUAAGGGAGCCUAGACAUCUAUCAUUACGCUACCACUAUCAGAUUAGAGCACUAAGGGAGCCUAGACAUCUACCACCCCACUACCACUAUCAGAUUAGAGCCAUAAAGGAGGCUGGACAUCUACCACCCCACUACCACUAUCAGAUUAGAGCCAUAAAGGAGACAUCUACCACCCCACUACCACUAUCAGAUUAGAGCCAUAAGGGAGACUAGACAUCUAUUACCCCACUACCACUAUCAGAUUAGAGCAAUAA
rnacentral:lncRNA from 13 species